AAUAAUUAAAUUUUUUGCAAGUAUGUAUAUAUUAUAAACUUAAAAAUAAAUAAAAAAUCUGCAAGUAUAUAUAUUAUAAAAAUAUAAAAAAAAUAAAAAAAUCUGCAAGUAUAUAUAUUAUAAAGUUAUAAAUAAAUAAAAAAUCAGAAUGAAUGUAUGUAUAUGGUUGGUGUGGAUAGAAAUGGUUUAUUUAUUGUUAUGAAGUUGUGAGGUGUUGUGUGUAGAAAUU
rnacentral:lncRNA from 1 species